CUUGGAGGCAAAGACACGCUUGCUGGUUGAUGAUCUUGUUCCUCUGACGUUGACGUUGGCUGGCUCUGAAUGGGCUGUUGCUCUUUUGUCUCUGAUAAUGUGUCGCAUGCGGGUGCAUGUAUUGCUGAGCUUGGUGGCUCUGCUGAAGCUAGUUUGGUGUCUGUUGUAAGCUGAAUUAUUUGAGUGUCUGCAUGUAGGUCACCAGCUGAAGGUAGUGGGGUGUUGUGUGCUGGCUGGUUGGUUGGGGGCCGUUGGGAACUGAGGGGCAGCUGUGUGCCUGUAAGGCAGAAGCAGUGUGUGGCGUCCUGGGUGUUUGCUGUUGGCUGUUGGGUUGAGGACAGGGUUCGUGCCAUGUGGGGCAUCAUGGCUGAUAGCGUGUAAGGGGCUAACUGAGACACCCCCAACAUCCGGGGCCUUGAUGGGGCUUCGGUGAUCUGGACGUUUGAGAGGGGGAUGAGUCCUGUCACACCUUGAUCCGUGAGCGGAAGGAUCAGCUGGAGAGUGGCUGGCUGAGAGGAGGAAGGGAACAGUGCUGGAGUCACUGAGGGAUGCUGGGAAAUGGAGUUUUGGGCCGAGAGGCAAAUGGCUGGCUGAGAGGAGGAAUGGAACAGUGCUGGAGUCACUGAGGGAUGCUGGGAAAUGGAGUUUUGGGCCGAGAGGCAAAUGGCUGGCUGAGAGGAGGAAUGGAACAGUGCUGGAGUCACUGAGGGAUGCAUUUGGCUGAAAGGGAGACACUCCUGUGGAGAGACACCAGACUGUGGGACAAUAGUGCCCUCUGUUGGACUGGAGCAAGAAGUACCCUAUUGCACAGGUUCAUGACAUAAGAAGGGGAAAACAUAGUUUGCAGGUACUGUAACUGUAUAUGGGCAUGGAAGCAGUUACUGUGCCUACCACAUCUCCCUGGCCAGAACACACAGCAGCUCUUACCUGAGACUGAGCCAUGAAGAGGGAGCGAGGGAGCGAGGGAGCGUAAGUGAGUGUCGUGCCUUCUCUAGAGCAUCGGAGCUGAAAGCUUGCGCUGCUUGUGAAAGAGCGCGUCCACUCCUGCGCCAAGGGAAGCCUUGAGAGCCUGGCAGUAAAUAACACACAAAAGCCCAGUCAGGGACGACAACAUAAAGACAGCCACUCGUCCUUCUGCAUAUUUCACUUUUUUCUGUCAGCUUUUUUUAUUAUUAUUUUCCUGUGCCUCUUUCUGUCCGUCUCUCAGACUUGCUUUCCUGCUCACCUGUACCUACCUACGUCCCUCCGUAAUUCAUCCGUUGUGUAAUUGUCUCCAUUGUCCCAACUGAGUCGCCCUCUCUUCUUCAGCUGCUGGUAAUCCCUCUAUUCUUGUGUUAUGAGGAUGGCGGGGAGGUCAGAUGCAAUCGAUACGCGACCUGGCAGGGGACCUCAUGAAAGAUGUAUGGUGGUGAUCGCACAGUUGGGUCAGAGUUUAACACGGCAGCAGUGGAGGAUUUUGAUGAAGGCCUUGCGGAACUCGAUGUUGAAGGUGGUGUAGAUGACGGGGUUGACAGCGCUGUUGAGGUAGCCCAGCCAGGUGACCACGCUGUACAGGGACGGCGAGAUGCAGCAGCUGCCGCAGUGGGCCUUCAGUACGUGGGUCAGGAAGAAGGGCAGCCAGCAGAUGAUGAACACUCCUAAACACGCAUGGACGCACGCACGCACCCACACACACACACACGCACGCACGCACACACACGCACCCACACACACGCGCGCGCACGCGCACGCACACGCACACGCACACACGCACACGCACACACACACACUCGCACAAGGAAAUACAUACAUGCAACACAUACAGAUAAACACACAAGUUCACACUCAUUAAUAUUCAAAACUACUUAAUGUAGAUAAGUUUUCUUCAGAGUAAACAAGUUGAAUGAUGGCCCGGUAAUUUCAUGAGUACAUGUACUUUAUUUCACAGACCACCACUACGGCAAUUAUAAUAAAAGUACUAAAAGGUUAGACAGUAAUGGCAUGUUGCAGGUGAUUUGAAUGCAUUUUUCACAGAGGCACAUAAAUGUCAGUCUGCCAUUAUGCCAUUAGUAGUUCUUCAAUCCAGUGGUAGAAACAGAAUGAAGAGAUAUUUCUCCUCCUUUUCUCAUCCUC